UACGAAGGGGGCUAGCGUUGCUCGGAAUCACUGGGCGUAAAGCGCACGUAGGCGGAUCUUUAAGUCAGGGGUGAAAUCCCAAGGCUCAACCUUGGAACUGCCUUUGAUACUGGGGAUCUCGAGUCCGGAAGAGGUUGGUGGAACUGCGAGUGUAGAGGUGAAAUUCGUAGAUAUUCGCAAGAACACCAGUGGCUAAGGCGGCCAACUGGUCCGGUACUGACGCUGAGGUGCGAAAGCGUGGGGAGCAAACAGG
rnacentral:rRNA from 1 species